AUUGAACGCUGGCGGCAUGCCUUACACAUGCAAGUCGAACGGCAGCACGGACUUCGGUCUGGUGGCGAGUGGCGAACGGGUGAGUAAUGUAUCGGAACGUGCCUAGUAGUGGGGGAUAACUAGUCGAAAGAUUAGCUAAUACCGCAUACGACCUACGAGUGAAAGGGGGGGAUCGCAAGACCUCAUGCUAUUAGAGCGGCCGAUAUCAGAUUAGCUAGUUGGUGGGGUAAAGGCCCACCAAGGCAACGAUCUGUAGCUGGUCUGAGAGGACGACCAGCCACACUGGGACUGAGACACGGCCCAGACUCCUACGGGAGUCAGCAGUGGGGAAUUUUGGACAAUGGGGGCAACCCUGAUCCAGCAAUGCCGCGUGUGUGAAGAAGGCCUUCGGGUUGUAAAGCACUUUUGUCAGAGAAGAAAACUGUUGCGCUAAUAUCGCGACGGGAUGACGGUAUCUGAAGAAUAGGGACCGGCUAACUACGUGCCAGCCGCCGCAGUAA
rnacentral:rRNA from 1 species